GAUAGAAUGGCUGAGUUAAAGGCGAUAAACUGUAAAUUUAUUAACGAAAUUAAUUUCUUCUGUCA
rnacentral:tRNA from 3 species